rnacentral:rRNA from 1 species
GACGAACGCUGGCGGCGUGCCUAAUACAUGCAAGUCGAGCGAAGUUUUUCUGGUGCUUGCACUAGAAAAACUUAGCGGCGAACGGGUGAGUAACACGUAAAGAACCUGCCUCAUAGACCGGGACAACUAUUGGAAACGAUAGCUAAUACCGGAUAACAGUAUUUCUCGCAUGAGAGAUAUUUAAAAGUUGGUUAUGCUAACACUAUGAGAUGGCUUUGCGGUGCAUUAGCUAGUUGGUGGGGUAAAGGCCCACCAAGGCGACGAUGCAUAGCCGACCUGAGAGGGUGAUCGGCCACACUGGGACUGAGACACGGCCCAGACUCCUACGGGAGGCAGCAGUAGGGAAUCUUCCGCAAUGGGCGAAAGCCUGACGGAGCAACGCCGCGUGAGUGAAGAAGGAUUUCGGUUCGUAAAGCUCUGUUGUUAGGGAAGAAUGGAUAUGUAGUAACUAUACAUGUAAGAGACGGUACCUAACCAGAAAGCCACGGCUAACUACGUG